rnacentral:rRNA from 1 species
GCCUGGUCAGUACUUGGAUGGGAGACCGCCUGGGAAUACCAGGU